GCCCUGGUGGUGCAAUGGUUAAGCACUUGGCUGCUAACUGAAAGUUUGGUGGUUCAAACCCACCCAGCAGCU
rnacentral:tRNA from 1 species